rnacentral:rRNA from 1 species
AUUGAACGCUGGCGGCAGGCCUAACACAUGCAAGUCGAGCGGAUGAAGGGAGCUUGCUCCUGGAUUCAGCGGCGGACGGGUGAGUAAUGCCUAGGAAUCUGCCUGGUGGUGGUUGAUGACGUGAGAAGGCGGGCGCUAAUACAUCAUUCCUGCGGACGGAGAAAGGGGGGGAUCUUCGGACCUCCCGCCAUCUGAUGAUACUAGGUCGGAUUAGCUAGUUGGUGGGGUAAAGGCCUACCAAGGCGACGAUCCGUAACUGGUCUGAGAGGAUGAUCAGUCACACUGGAACUGAGACACGGUCCAGACUCCUACGGGAGGCAGCAGUGGGGAAUAUUGGACAAUGGGCGAAAGCCUGAUCCAGCCAUGCCGCGUGUGUGAAGAAGGUCUUCGGAUUGUAAAGCACUUUAAGUUGGGAGGAAGGGCAGUAAGUUAAUACCUUGCUGUUUUGACGUUACCAACAGAAUAAGCACCGGCUAACUUCGUG